rnacentral:lncRNA from 1 species
UUAAACUCAUCUCACUGCGUUAUGGAGAUAUCUUUCUCAACCAUCAUUACUGAUUAUAUCCAUGACUGAGGCUUCAAUUGGGUUAGUUUUCUGUGCUCAUCUUCUUUGCAAUUCCAUACAUGAGUCAGGGCGAAUUAUAACGAUUAGCGUCAAAUUCUGUGUGUUUGUGACUUGAAUGUGCUCUUGUAUGCUGGGAAUAGGUUCGUAGAUGCAUGAAACAGCUUGCGUGCAGGUUUGAUGAUCGCUGGAAAUUUGGAUCUGUUUUGACCUCGAUGUGUUCUUGGAUUUUCAGAAAAUUUUCGAGUCAGAAUUUCAAAAAUCUUUGUGAUAUAUCGCUAUAAGUUCAGAUCAUGAGCUUCAUAGUGAUCUAGAUUUCGUAAAAUUCCAACAUCCUUUGAUGCAAAAACUUCGGUCUGUAACCCAGCAAAAACUUUUCCCACUUGAAGUAAAAUUCAGAUUCCGGUUUUCUCAGAUUUUGAUUUGCAAAAUUAAAAUAGCAGGAGUCCUUUUCUGCAAGAGGUCAAAACUGGCAAGUUGUUCAUUAGGGUCUUAACUAUAUAUCUGGUAAGUUCGAGUACUUUUAAGCAAAGAUUAGGGGGUCAAUUUGGCCAAAAACUGGACAAGGUCAUUUAUGGCCUACAAAACUCUUUUCAAUCAAGUCCCAGGGAAAACUUGGGAAACUGAAGUUCAAAAACUCAAAACUUGAAAGUUGUAGAACAUACUCAUGGCUAUCUGUGUAAAAUAUCAGAUUUUUCUGAUUUGUUUGGUAUAUUUCUCAGAUUUUGCGAGACCAGGUUGGAAGAGGUUCUGAAUCAGGAACAGUCGGGUCUAAUUGGUCAAGCUGGGGUCAAUCAGGUUAGAAGCGGGUCAAGUAAUCUUAAUGAACUUUGAAGUACACAUCUCAAGUUUUCCAAUGAUGUAAAUGUCACUCAAUGGGUAGGUCAUUAAGGCACUCAAUUGAACCCAAACAUAAUUGUUUAGAAUCAAUAAAAUGAUAAUUAAGUGCUCACUUGAUUGUUUGUGGAUUGUUCAAGGUCCUUUGGUCCUAAAUACAUGGUUAGCUGGCCUUUGUAUGUGAUGUUCUAGAGGCACGAGUUAGGCCUGCGAUAUGUAUGACGCCGGGUAUAUUAGAGGGUUGAUUAGAAUGUAAUUAGGGGAUUAGUGAUACUGGCCCAUUGCUAUGUGAACACAAGUGGGGCUAACUAUCACUAAUCUUGAUUAAUGAAUACCUAGAGGAUUAGGUGGUGGCUUAGGUUGAUUGAUGUGUAUGCUUAAUCUCGAAGUUGAUUCUGAACUAACUGAACAUCGAGUUGAUGUAAACAUCGUUAAUGCCUAGCUUUGCUUGAGUGGAUGCUUUGAAUGAUGUGAAUGGAUCGUUUGAUUAUGAAACCGACGCACGUGAAGGUGGUGACUGGAGGCGACCCCGAGGAGGUGGGAACCAAGAAGAGCCGUCAAUGGUAGAAGGCCGAUGUCCAUUCUGGCCUUAGUAAUUUGUAAUUGUUUAGUUCAGAAUGGCCUAGGCUAGUCCAUUAUCAUAAUAUGUUAGGCUGUGUUUGGCAGUCAAGAUAAAAUUCCGGCCUUAAAGUUUCGCUCGCCAUAGUUAGAGAUACAUGCUUCUGAGGGAUCGUAUCUCAAGGCUUAUAACGAGGUCAUGUGUACCGUUUGCUCAACUUGUAUUGGGUUUUAACUUUCGUUACCUAGCUACUUUCAAUAAUUGAGUGUUUAAUUA